GAUGAACGCUAGCGGCAGGCCUAACACAUGCAAGUCAGGGGCAGUCGCGGUGCAGCAAUGCACUGGCGGCGACCGGCGUACGGGUGCGUAACGCGUAUGCAACCUGCCCCGCACCGGGGGAUAGCCCGCCGAAAGGCGGAUUAAUACCCCAUGGCCCCGGGGGCCCGCAUGGGCAUCCGGGUAAAGCCUUGGCGGUGCGGGAUGGGCAUGCGUGCCAUUAGCUGGCUGGUGGGGUAACGGCCCACCAGGGCAACGAUGGCUAGGGGGUCUGAGAGGAUGGUCCCCCACACUGGUACUGAGACACGGACCAGACUCCUACGGGAGGCAGCAGUGAGGAAUAUUGGUCAAUGGGCGGAAGCCUGAACCAGCCAUGCCGCGUGCGGGAUGAAGGCCCUACGGGUUGUAAACCGCUUUUCCCCGGGAAGAAUAAGCCCCCCGCGGGGGGUGAUGCCGGUACCGGGGGAAUAAGGAUCGGCUAACUCCGUG
rnacentral:rRNA from 1 species